UACCCCAUUUACUGUGUAACUCUGCUUGUCCAGAGGGACUUACAAAUGAUUAAAAUGUUGCUGAGCGAUGCAAUCCUUGGACUUGAGAAAUUUUAGAAAUUCAAAUUCGUGGGCCAGUGCGAUGUCCCAGGGGGUAGAAGUGCACAGAUCUGGCAGCCUGAGUCAGUUUCUGGAUGCUACAGAGGCAUGACUCCACAAGCUGUCCUCUGGCCUCCCUGUGUGCGCCGUGGUCCACAUGUGUCCACGCCCAUCUGAAUGUACACGUGGAAACAAAUAAGCAAUAAGAAGCGUAAGCAUCUGAAAAUGGAAUCUAGUCGUCUGUGUACUUCACAGAGGUUCUGAUAAGGAAGAUGGGAGAAACUGGGCCUCAUUGAUAAGCCGCUCCCAGCGUGUCAGGAGUGGCGGAGAACAGCCUCAUGCCAUUCGGUUGAAAGGCUUCUUUUCCAAGGAUUGUCGAGCUCUUCUUUCUCUUUUAUAAUCCCCCAAAUCACAGUGACCAAUCGGCCUUGCUGUUUAAUACAUGCUGACUUGGGAGUGGGUCUCUUGUCCCUAAUGAAACUGUUGUCUAUCGGAGUUCACAAAGAUAUCAAUUUGGCAUGUGGCUUCUGAGCAUGUGACUGGUCUUGGACAAAAACUGAAUCCACCAUUGGGAGAAAGAGGGAAAUCUUGAAGGAUCUAACUCCACUUGGAACCAUUAAGAAAGCAAUCAGGAAUAUACAUUACCAUUCUAAAGGAGAGGACUGGGGACAUAGUGGGCAAAGAUGGGGCCAGAGAGGACAGGGGACAUAGUGGGCAAAGAGGGGCCAGAGAAAGACUAAAAACCAGCAGGGGCAGCAGCAAACCCUGCUACCCUGUCUCUGAUGACGGGGACAUCAGUUUCAAAGGGCCUAGACGACUGUUUCCCCUGCUGCUUCUCAUACCUAUCUCCCUUCGGUUACUCUCCUCCCAACAUGCAGCUCUCUAUGGCGGAGGUUUCACAGCUGAGGUAUCGUAGCAUCCUGUGAUGUCAAAAUGCAGCCAGGCUUCAUCUUCACAACUUCCUGCAGUGGGGCUCUGACUGUGCCAGACAGACCGAUUGCACCCCGGUCCUGAAGAGAGCAGUGGCAGGCUCUGUGUGAAGUUGCGUUCGGAGAAGGGGGCGUGCCCACACAUGCCAAUGUACAUCCUUUGUGCUGUCCUUUCUCAAGAGCAUCUUUGAGGGGAUGGGGAACCCGUUUAUUUACAUCUUGUUCAGGGCUGCUUUUAUGCUACAAUGGCUGAAAGAUUUACGGUAUAGAAAGUUUGCUGGUCCCCGCUGCAGAGCAGGACUCCAGGGCUUUGCAUUAAAUAAGGGCAGAGCUUGCUGCCCAGAGGCAAACUUACAGAGCACUGGCUUCCUGAUUUCAGAGUGCCAAUAAAGUCAUUUAGAGAUGGGGCUGAAGUCCAGAGUGUGUUUCAGCAAGUUAGCUAGCUGGCGACGCUUUAGCUCCUGACUGGGGCCUUUGAGGUCUUUGAGGUUUUAGAGGAGAUGGCAGAAGAUAUUAACAUGAAAGUUACCUUUAACUCUUAGAAGAACACUACAGCUUCCGAGAAUAGAAGGUAGUAAUAUGGAUAGUACUUGAAGUACCAGAUUCCCAGGUUAGAGAGGGCCUGAGAUACCAGAUUCCCAGGUUAGGGAGGGCCUGAGAUACUAGAUUCCCAGGUUAGGGAGGGCCUGAGGUACCAGAUUCCCAGGUUAAGGAGGGCCUGAGUUACCAGAUUCCCAGGUUAGGGAGGACUGAGGUACCAGAUUCCCAGGGUAGGGAGGGCCUGAGGUACCAGAUUCCCAGGUUAGGGAGGGCCUGAGGUCCCAGAUUCCCAGGUUAGGGAGGGCCUGAGGUCCCAGAUUCCCAGGUUAGGGAGGGCCUGAGUACCAGAUUCCCAGGUUAGGGAGGGCCUGAGUACCAGAUUCCCAGGUUAGGGAGGGCCUGAGUACCAGAUUCCCAGGUUAGGGAGGGCCUGAGUACCAGAUUCCCAGGUUAGGGAGGGCCUGAGGCACCAGAUUCCUGGUGUAGGGAGGGUAGGAAGUCGAGAUCUUUGAGACCCGAGAGCUCCUGUUUUCUGGGGACAAUGAGGAGAAAUGUUAUAUGCAGAGAAUAUGCUGGAGGUGUUGAGAAUCAGGAGGAACUUAGGGACAGUAAUGAAGAUUCUCAUAGAUCACUGGACAGACUGAAAGAGGGACGAGGAGGAAAGAUUGGGGACGUCAGGGCAUGCUCCUGGUGACCCACUUCUACAGUUUCAACCACUUACACAUACUGAUGUAACUGUAAACUCUCUGAGGGACAGUUAACCAUCAGUUAGGUCAGGGUCAUGAUGAUGUAGUCAGUGGUGGGAUCUGCCGGCUGCGAACAAGCCUUUCAUACAGGAGCCCCUUGGAGAAUAUACCCAUCCAAACCAUAGCGUGUCCCCAGC